GCAAGUCAUAAACCUUAACUUAUUUUACACCUAUUUCUUUCUCUCCCGCUUAGAAGCUCUCUGUUUUUUUUUUUUUUUUCAAACAACAUCAGAUCUAUAUGUGUUCAUUUAGAUCUUUUAGUUUUCAUUUUAUUUUUUAGAUCCUAGAGCUUCUUAUGUUAAACAUGGGUUUGCAUGUUUUGAGGUUUGUCUUUGGGGUUUUUUUUUCACAUUUUUUGUUCGAUGGACUGGAUGUUUUUUGAUUCUCAUUUCAUUUUUUUUAAAAUAGAUGAUUUUUUUUGGUCUUUUGAUAGUUUUUUUUUUUUUUUUCCGUGAAGCCCUUCGUUAACUUUAACUGAAUUUUUUUUUUAAAUCCAUAUUUUUUUUUUUCUGUAUAGAUCAGUUUCCAUGUUUUUAUUCUCUAUUUUUACUAACAUCCAUCAGAAAGUCAGAAAAUUGAUGCCCAUGAUUUUGAGCAACAGCACUUGGUUCCCCACCCCUCACCAAAUAAAGAGCCAAAUCUUGCAACCAUAUUAAUGAUAGGAUAUUGACCAAUUAAAAAGGGAGUGGGAAGUGAUGGAACAAUUCAUCGAUCACGCCGUGUCCGAGUCUAUCUAACAUCAAUAUCUUUAAAAGUAUUCCCCCAACAAGCACGCACACCACGAUAUAUGAUGAAAAGAAAGAGAUCAGAGCUAGCUAGCUAUAGCUCCUAGAUAAAUUAAAGAAAGAAAGAACGAAAGAAAGAAAAGGAGUUGCCAACCAAAAAAGCAACCAAGUAAAUGUACACGUAUGGAUUCCAUCCUCGAUCCCAUCAUCUUGAUCUAUUUAUCUCUCCUAUCUCUUCUAUUAUUGCUUUUAUUGCUUGCUUUCAUCAUCUUACACAGUUCUCCGCACCCUGCAAAGUUAGCUAGCUAGCUAUACUUUAACCACCUCAAAAGAAAACAAAAAGCUAACAAACAACUCCUUGUCUAAUUCUCUCCUUUCCCUUCCUCUCUCUCCCCACCUCUCUUUCGAUCUCUCUCUCUCAAACAGCUUCGUCUUCCGUCUAGAUCUCUUUCUUUCUCUCUAUAUUUCAAUGAUCUCGAUGGCAGACUCUAUUUCUUUCUCUAAACCCAUUUUCAGCCCUCUUUUUUUCAUUUUGAGAAGGAGCUAAGAAGCAAGUCAUAAACCUUAACUUAUUUUACACCUCUUUCUUUCUCUCCCGCUUAGAAGCUCCCUGUUCUUUUUUUUUUUUUUGCAAACAACAUCAGAUCUAUAUGUGUUCAUUUAGAUCUUUUAGUUUUCAUUUUAUUUUUUAGAUCCUAGAGCUUCUUAUGUUAAACAUGGGUUUGCAUGUUUUGAGUUUUGUCUUCGGGUUUUUUUUUUUCACAUUUUUUGUUCGAUCGACUGGAUGUUUUUUGGUUCUCAUUUCAUUUUUUUUAAAAUAGAUGAUUUUUUUUGGUCGUUUGAUGGUUUUUUUUUUUUUUUUUUUUUCCGUGAAGCCCUUCGUUAACUUUAACUGAUUUUUUUUUUUAAAUCCAUGUUUUUUUUUCUGUAUAGAUCAGUUUCCAUGUUUUUAUUCUCUAUUUUUACUAACAUCCAUCAGAAAGUUAUGAUCUUUUUAUUUGUAAAUUGGAUUCUCUUCUCUAAACCCAUUUUCAGCCCUCUUUUUUUCAUUUUGAGAAGGAGCUAAGAAGCAAGUCAUAAACCUUAACUUAUUUUACACCUCUUUCUUUCUCUCCCGCUUAGAAGCUGUCUGUUUUUUUUUUUUUUUUUGCAAACAACAUCAGAUCUAUAUGUGUUCAUUUAGAUCUUUUAGUUUUCAUUUUAUUUUUUAGAUCCUAGAGCUUCUUAUGUUAAACAUGGGUUUGCAUGUUUUAAGUUUUGUCUUCGGGUUUUUUUUUUUCACAUUUUUUGUUCGAUCGACUGGAUGUUUUUUGGUUCUCAUUUCAUUUUUUUUUUAAAAUAGAUGAAUUUUUUUGGUCGUUUGAUGGUUUUUUUUUUCCGUGAAGCCCUUCGUUAACUUUAACUGAUUUUUUUUUUUAAAUCCAUGUUUUUUUUUUCUGUAUAGAUCAGUUUCCAUGUUUUUAUUCUCUAUUUUUACUAACAUCCAUCAGAAAGUUAUGAUCUUUUUGUUUGUAAAUUGGAUUCUCUUACGGGGUUUCAGAUCUAUGAUUCAAUGGUCUUUUUCCCUGAAAUUUUUCCUCUCUUCAGUGGUGUAGUACGUUUAAAUGUGUUAAUAGAUUUGUGAUUUUGUUUGUUUGUUUGUGUUUGGAUUUGUGUAGGUGAGGAUUCAAUUGGCUUAGGGAUCAGCAGCCCAAGGGCGAGGACCAUGCUUGAGGAGGAGGGCUUUGGUGCCUUUUACAAGCUUCCAUUCCAAAGCAAUAGCUGGCACACGUACAGAAGGGGAAAACUCGUGUGCAGAAGGGGAAAAAUAAGAAGAAAUGAGACUCUAGUUUUUCAAAAUUGUAACUUAUUAUAAUGUUUUGUCAUUAUAAUUUAUAGGAAAAGACAAUAGUAUCCCUGCCUAAUUAAUUUGGCACUAUUUUUCUUCAAAAAAUUCAGUUAUUAUAUUAAUGGAAUUUAAACAGACAACACAUUUGGUCA